AUUGAACGCUGGCGGCAUGCCUUACACAUGCAAGUCGAACGGCAGCACGGGAGCAAUCCUGGUGGCGAGUGGCGAACUGGUGAGUAAUACAUCGGAACGUGCCCUGUCGUGGGGGAUAACUAGUCGAAAGAUUAGCUAAUACCGCAUACGACCUGAGGGUGAAAGCGGGGGACCGCAAGGCCUCGCGCGAUAGGAGCGGCCGAUGUCUGAUUAGCUAGUUGGUGGGGUAAAGGCCCACCAAGGCGACGAUCAGUAGCUGGUCUGAGAGGACGAUCAGCCACACUGGGACUGAGACACGGCCCAGACUCCUACGGGAGGCAGCAGUGGGGAAUUUUGGACAAUGGGGGCAACCCUGAUCCAGCAAUGCCGCGUGUGUGAAGAAGGCCUUCGGGUUGUAAAGCACUUUUGUCCGGAAAGAAAUCCCUUGCCCUAAUACGGCGGGGGGAUGACGGUACCGGAAGAAUAGCACCGGCUAA
rnacentral:rRNA from 1 species